rnacentral:rRNA from 1 species
UGGGGAAUAUUGCACAAUGGGCGCAAGCCUGAUGCAGCCAUGCCGCGUGUAUGAAGAAGGCCUUCGGGUUGUAAAGUACUUUCAGUCGGGAGGAAGGUGUCAAGGUUAAUAACCUUGGCAAUUGACGUUACCGACAGAAGAAGCACCGGCUAACUCCGUGCCAGCAGCCGCGGUAAUACGGAGGGUGCAAGCGUUAAUCGGAAUUACUGGGCGUAAAGCGCACGCAGGCGGUUGAUUGAGUCAGAUGUGAAAUCCCCGGGCUUAACCCGGGAAUUGCAUCUGAUACUGGUCAGCUAGAGUCUUGUAGAGGGGGGUAGAAUUCCAUGUGUAGCGGUGAAAUGCGUAGAGAUGUGGAGGAAUACCGGUAGCGAAGGCGGCCCCCUGGACAAAGACUGACGCUCAGGUGCGAAAGCGUGGGGAGCAAACAGG